rnacentral:rRNA from 1 species
UACGGGGGGAGCAAGCGUUGUUCGGAAUCACUGGGCGUAAAGGGCGUGUAGGCGGCCAAGUAAGUCGGGGGUGAAAUCCACUGGCUCAACCAGUGACGUGCCUUCGAAACUGCCUGGCUUGAGUAUGGCAGAGGGAAGCGGAAUUCCAGGUGUAGCGGUGAAAUGCGUAGAUAUCUGGAAGAACACCGGUGGCGAAGGCGGCUUCCUGGGCCAAUACUGACGCUGAGGCGCGAAAGCCAGGGGAGCGAACGGGAUUAGAUACCCCGGUAGUCCUGGCCCUAAACGAUGGGUACUAGGUGUAGGAGGUAUCGACCCCUCCUGUGCCGCAGCUAACGCAUUAAGUACCCCGCCUGGGGAGUACGAUCGCAAGAUUGAA